GAUGAACGCUGGCGGCGUGCCUAAUACAUGCAAGUCCAGCGAACAGAUGAGGAGCUUGCUCCUCUGACGUUAGCGGCGGACGGGUGAGUAACACGUGGAUAACCUACCUAUAAGACUGGGAUAACUUCGGGAAACCGGAGCUAAUACCGGAUAAUAUAUUGAACCGCAUGGUUCAAUAGUGAAAGACGGUUUUGCUGUCACUUAUAGAUGGAUCCGCGCCGCAUUAGCUAGUUGGUAAGGUAACGGCUUACCAAGGCAACGAUGCGUAGCCGACCUGAGAGGGUGAUCGGCCACACUGGAACUGAGACACGGUCCAGACUCCUACGGGAGGCAGCAGUAGGGAAUCUUCCGCAAUGGGCGAAAGCCUGACGGAGCAACGCCGCGUGAGUGAUGAAGGUCUUCGGAUCGUAAAACUCUGUUAUUAGGGAAGAACAAAUGUGUAAGUAACUAUGCACGUCUUGACGGUACCUAAUCAGAAAGCCACGGCUAACUACGUG
rnacentral:rRNA from 1 species